UACAGAGGGUGCAAGCGUUAAUCGGAAUUACUGGGCGUAAAGCGUGCGCAGACGGUCUCGUAAGUCGGGUGUGAAAUCCCCGGGCUCAACCUGGGAAUUGCAUUCGAAACUGCGAGGCUAGGGUACGGAAGAGGGAAGCGGAAUUUCUGGUGUAGCGGUGAAAUGCGUAGAUAUCAGAAGGAACAUCAGUGGCGAAAGCGGCUCCUGGUCCAGUACCGACGUCAGGCACGAAAGCGUGGGGAGCAAACAGG
rnacentral:rRNA from 1 species